rnacentral:tRNA from 1 species
GGGGGUAUAGCUCAGUAGAAGAGCACUUGCUUAGCAUGCACAGGGCCCUGGGUUCAGUCCCCAGUACCACAA